rnacentral:rRNA from 1 species
GACGAACGCUGGCGGCGUGCCUAAUACAUGCAAGUAGAACGCAGUUGCGAACGGGUGAGUAACGCGCAGGUAACUGCCUCAUAGCGGGGGAUAACUAUUGGAAACGAUAGCUAAUACCGCAUACAGAGAGAUGGACCUGCGUUGUAUUAGCUAGUUGGUGAGGUAAAGGCUCAACAAGGAGACGAUACAGAGCCGACCGGAGAGGGUGAUCGGUGACACUGGGACUGCGUAACGGCCCAGACUCAUACUGGAGGCAGCAGGAGAGAAUCUUGGGAAAUGGACGGAAGUCUGACCGAGCAACUCCGCGUGAGUGGAGAAGGUUUUCGGAUCGUGAAGCUCGAUUGUUAGAGAAUCGGUAACUAACCAGUAAGGGACGGCUAACUACGUGCAAGCAGCCGCGGUAAUUC